rnacentral:lncRNA from 1 species
UGGGUACGCACACUGUAUGAUGACAUGUGUACAGCUUAACGCUCAGCAGAGAUUUCCCCAGGGAGUUAGAAAAACUAUCAGCUGCCUCGUGGGGUCAAGAGCAAAGAGCAGGGGUUUUCACAGGGUCCUCUCUUCUCCUACAUUUUUAUACCUGAGCUGUAAGGAAUGCCAGAUUCAUUAGCUGUGUCCCCAUUCUACACAUGUAAGUCUGGGAGGCGAGCCAACCUGGGUGAUACUGCAGGACAGCUCUGCCCCUUGUGUACUUAGCGCGUACAAAUCACCACAGACUUCAUAUUCUCCCAUUCAAUUCAGCACAAAUUGUUCAACUUUGAAAUACCCGUCAAUGUGACACUUUCUCUGACCUACUGAUAAUAACAUUAUCUUCAUCAAACAGGGCAGAAGUUUUAAAAGCCUGCUCAGCAAAUAUUGAGAAUCCUGGUCUUCAAACAGACAGCUGGGUGUUAGGCUGGAAUGAAAAGAAUUAGAAAGCAGACUGAGAGACUUCAAAAUAUCUGUGAUUAAGCAUAGAUUCAUUUAAUUAUCAGGCAAAACAACAACCACCACCAAGCCAGAGUAACUUGGCUCCUGCCAUUCAACCUGUGGUUCUCCUGCCAGAGGAUGGCUGCACAAUAAACCUUGGACGAGGAAGGAUCUCUGGAUCUCAAAGACUCUUACAAGAAACAGACCAUCAUUUUAAAAUUGCAGGGUUAUCCACCUUGCUUUGGGCUCAUGGAGUCAGUGAGAUGAGAAGACACAAUCCAGGCUGGAAGGACGGGAAAGGACAGAAGAUGCAGUUUCAAAUCCAGGAGAUUCUGGGAGACACACUUCAGGAAGAGGACAGAGCAUCACCUCUGCUCUGCAAGCCCUCUGCAGGCAUUUCUCCAUCCCCACGUCCUUCGGUGAAAACUCAAAGUUCAGAAAGGAGCCUGCGUCACAGGAGUGUAGAUUACACGGCAACAGAAGGGACAUUGGCUUUAGCAGAACUGGGUGGGAAGGCCAUGGUCACCAGGGGAGAGACGGCUCUCCAUUAGAGACCAGAGUGGUCUUCAGAGAAUAGGGUCAGCAGCCACUAAUCACAGAAGACCUCCACCAUUUUCAAACCUGAGUUACACCUUCCCAGAAGUCCAAAUCUAAUAAAAGAUGUCUAUUUCUCUGUG